CUUUCAAUUUAUUUUGAGCCCCAGAGCACUUUAGCCCACAGUGGUGAGGCUUGCAAAAACUCAAGUUCUGACUGCUGGCAUUGGCAGUUUCCCUCUGGCUAAGGGUGGUUGAAAUGCAUCCUCUGUGGUCUGGCGUCAGCUGAGUUUGGUCCAGUUUUUCUUUCUGCUAUAACAAGGGCAGCACUGAGUUCAAUGCCUCACAGUUGCUGGCUCUCCCUCUCCCCAGGGCACAGAAACGCUCUUCAGACCAUACUCCUACUGCCAGGGGAUGGAGAAGGCAUGGUGUCAGCAAUUCAAGACUGUUUUUCCUACCUCUUCAGUGUCUCUUUCGGCAAAAUGAAGUGAAAAUCAGACUUGUAACUGAAGAAGCCAUCAACCAAGAAAUUUCCAACAGACCCAGAUGGAAAAAGUCCCAGUGAAAGCCUGUUCUUUAGCCAAAGGGGCCAGAAAAGAGCAAGAUAGCAGGACAAGUGUCAUUGAGGAGAAUUUGCCUAGGAGAUGCAAAGAGAGAGAAGCCUAUACUUUGAGGGUGGAAGCCCCUCCAACAGAUCUCUGCCAUCAUGUGAGAGAGAGCCUGAGUUAGCCUGCUGGAUGGUCAAAGAUGAGUGGUGCAGCUAAGUGAAAGCCUGCUGACUUGUAGACAUAUGAGUAAGGCCAUGCUUGAUCACCUGGCUGCCAGCUGGCCUGCCAACUAAUUGCAGGUACUUGAAAGAGUCCAGCAGAGAUCAGCCACCCCAGGUCAAAUAAACACCCAGCCCCCUCCCUGAGAAUGAUGAACUAAAUAAAUGUCUUAAGUACUAAGUUUUGGGUGUUUGCUACAUAGCAAAAGCUAAUUGAUACUGUUCCCAAGGAGUGGAAAACUUCUGUAACAAAAAACAAAAAAUUCUGGCAUUGGUUUUGGGAUUGGGCAAUGGGUAGAGGCUAGAAAAAUGGCAAGGAAGCUGCCAUAGCAACCUAGAAAAAUGGCAACCCAUGCUAUAAAAUAGGGCAAUUGGUCAAUAAUUUUUGAAGUGGUUUGUUAUGCAGCAAUAGCCUACUGAUACACCAUGUGAAUUAUAGCAAGGAAUAGCUAAGGCAAAACAAAACAUUGGAUGAGUAGCAUAGUUCAUUCUAAAGAACCACUAAGGCUUGCUCAGGAAUAUGUACUAAUUCAGGUGGCAUCUGUUAACUAUCACUGAGCAUAAUAUUGGAGGAUAAAUCUGCUUUGCUUAUUGCCACCCCCGUAGCUUAGAAGCUACUCCUAAAACAGCAAGGAUGUCACUGUGGCAGUGGGCAAGGAUUAAUUCCCUCAUUUAUUUAUUCAUUUAUUAAUUCAACAAA
rnacentral:lncRNA from 10 species